UUUAGUUCGUUUUUAUUUUUUAUACGCACAUAAUGCAGUGUCUGUGUAGACAAUCUGUAUUUGGUUCUGCUUACAAAAUACACGGAUAAAAUAAUAUUUCACUGCAUUAUGUGCGUAUAAAAAAUAAAAACGAACUAAA